UACGGGGGGGGUAAGCGUUGUUCGGAAUUACUGGGCGUAAAGGGCUCGUAGGCGGCCAACUAAGUCUUACGUGAAAUCCCUCAGCUUAACUGGGGAACUGCGUGUGAUACUGGAUGGCUUGGAUUUGGGAGAGGGAUGCGGAAUUCCAGGUGUAGCGGUGAAAUGCGUAGAUAUCUGGAGGAACACCGGUGGCGAGGGCGGCAUCCUGGACCAAUAUUGACGCUGAGGAGCGAAAGCCAGGGGAGCAAACGGG
rnacentral:rRNA from 1 species